CUUUGGCUCCGUUGGCCCCUUUGGCUCCGUUGGCUCCUUUGGCUCCUUUGGCUCCUUUGGCUCCUUUGGCCCCUUUGGCUCCGUUGGCUCCGUCGGCUCCUUUGGCCCCUUUGGCUCCGUUGGCUCCUUUAGCUCCUUUGGCUUCGUUGGCUUCUUUGGCUCCGUUGGCUCCGUUGGCUCCUUUGGCCCCUUUGGCUCCGUUGGCUCCGUUGGCUCCUUUGGCUCCGUUGGCUCCGUUGGCUCCUUUGGCCCCUUUGGCUCAAUUGGCUCCUUUGGCUCCUAACCGCUGAGAAGGAACCCGCCCAGCAGCUUCCAGCCUGCCGAUUGCUGCAGCCACUCCCGCCGGGCCCAAACUAAUCAAUGAUCCCAUCAUUCUCUAAUAAAAUCACUUCUAAGAACUGUCUUCAAAUGUUGAGGUCAUGCCACUCUCACCCCCCACCCCCUUUUUUUACGACCCCUCUUUGUGGAACCAUCCCGUCAGAAAGACAUCUUUAAUUUGUUUGGAUCCAGCUGAAAGGGAGAGACGUCUCUAUUUAAAUGCACGCUUAUUUUUCCAGGUGCUUGUACUUUGGAGCACGGUGAGCCGCAGCCUCGGAGGUUUCCACUCAGGGAAGCCGCAGCUCGCUCGAGAGCAAAGACUUCUGGGAGGGCAGCGAGCGCGUCCGCGGGGACUCGGCGAGAGAUGGCAGGUAGCGAUGCAUCAAUUAAUCAUGAUACGGUCCGUCGAUGCUGCAGAAUGUGGCAUUCACAGCAUUCACGUAGUCCUGAUUUAACACUGCUGAGGCCGUUCACGCGUACUUUCCUUCUUUAAGAUGGGUGUGACACAACCGCCCUUCUUGCUCCUCCUUCUACUACAACUUUUACAGGAUGCACUGAUCUGCAACGACAGAUUAGCUGCUGCACGGACGAAAAGCUGCAAUCAGACAAUUCAAUUACAGAGGAUGAUGAGGACAAUGAUGCUCCAUGCUGUACAUGGAAGCUAAGCAGAUAAGCUUAUUACCAAGGGUAGGAAUGCUGAAGUAGCGCCUAUGCUAAGCUAGCAUUAUUUUCACCCCAUCUGCUCAGUCAGGUUUUUAAACUCAUCACAGAAGAAAUGUGCUUUUCAAAAAGCUACCAGUUGUUUGUAAUGUAAUAUUUCGACAGACACGUGGCAUCUGGCUGCAGGACGUGUAUACGGCAUAAGUAUGAUUUUUAUAUCAUAUUUCUUUCAUGUGGUCAAAAAAGAUGCUGGAAAUACAACUCUUCUGAGAAAAGAAAGAUCAGCCUACAAAAUGAUUACAAUAUAAGGACAUGGAAAACAACAAUUAAACUGCAUAUCAUUAACAAAUUAAUUGUUGUCAGCUAAAGAUCAACUCAUCGCGAGCUUCUGUGGAGCCGAGAGCUUCUGUACGUUUCUGUCGGUUCAUCAUUGUGAGAGGAGCCAUGUGACAUUUUCACCCUGUGUGCAAAACCCGAACCUAAUGAACAAAUAGAACCAAUCAUUUAAAAAUGAAUACUAGUCAAAUGACCAACUAGAAGUGCAAUAUUCAAAAUAAGAGACUCCAGCUCUACUUUGUGCCUCUCAUUACUUCGUCUGUGUUCCUGCUGUUCAAAGCGACUCUCCACUCACAAGAAGACCUUCGUCCCCCGUUACCUUCAUGGACCAUGGAUCACCUGAGCGAGGGAAGUGAACAGCAGAGGACCUGAUAAGGAAGGAAAGGACAGAAACGAAGGGCAGAGAGAGCGACAGCAUGUUUGUACAGCUGAACACAAGCUGAAGAAGCCCAGGCCUUCUCUCACACUCCAUUAGGCCCGAAGCUGCACGGAGUGCUGCACUCAACACAUAAACAGCCUGCGUGAGGAGCCAUGUACGGGAGAGGCCGGGGGGGCGCCAGGCUGGCCGGCAAGAAACAACAAAUGCCUUUUCACAUCAGUGCAAUGCCCCCGAAUUACAGAGAGAAACAAGCGAUGGAGGCAGAGAGGCCUGGAAGAGCAACAGGCCUCAUUCGCCAAAGUUUGAUCCACCGCUUCCAGAAGAGACCUGAAGCCCUCGAGCUGCUUAAAGGAUGAGGAAGCCAUGAGGAGGCCAUGGGGAAGCCAUGAGGAAGCCGUGAGGAAGCCAAUGAGGAAGAAGCCAUGAGGAAGCCAUGGGCAAGCCAUGGGGAAGCCAUGAGGAAGCCAUGGGGAAGCCAUGGGGAAGCCAUGGGGAAGCCAUGAGGAAGCCAUGAGGAUGCCAUGUGGAAGAAGCCAUGAGGAAGAAGACAUGAGCAAGCCAUGGGGAAGCCAUGAGGAAGCCAUGAGGAAGAAGCCAUAAGGAAGCCAUGGGGAAGCCAUGAGGAAGCUAUGAGGAAGCCAUGAGGAAGCCAUGAGGAAGCCAUGGGGAAGCCAUGAGGAAGCCAUGAGGAAGCCAUGGGGAACCCAUGGGGAAGCCAUGAGGAAGAAGCCAUUAGGAAGCCAUGUGGAAGCCAUGAGGAAGCCAUGAGGAAGAAGCCAUGAGGAAGCCAUGAGGUACGACGCGCUGCAGCGGUACACAAACCGGGGGCCUUGUGGUUGCGGGUCGCCUCCUUAGCCCCGAGCUAACGACGCAAACACCACCCGUAGAA
ensembl:lncRNA